GUAGGUGAACCUGCGGAAGGAUCAUUAACACGGUUAGAUUUUCCAUUUGGAUUGUCAGUCUAUUUUUCUUUAAUCGCCGCGCACCUUGUUAAAAAACGGACUUUGUUCGAACCAGGAAAUUGAGAGCAAGCUGCUUGAUUGAUGGGUGGCCUCUCGGUUGACAAACGACUUGGUUUUUGAAUCUCACGGUCCGUCAUCAAUCACUUGGAGCUUUCUUUUUGAUAAACACCUUUUCGUACUACUACCAGUC
rnacentral:misc_RNA from 1 species